rnacentral:lncRNA from 1 species
CACNCAAAGGAAAUAUUAUUCAAACUACGUAUAUAAGUUUUUUUUCCAUCACGUAGAAACUUCUAGCAUAGGUAUAGAGCUAUGUUAUAUAAUACUGAGUACUCAUGAUUGUCGCUGUAAACUUGUAGGACUUCAUUUACUUAUUCCAAACAAUAUAGCAUUGGUUCAAAACGUGUCUACAGAUCCGACUGACUUGUUCAAUGGGUGCCAAAAAAUGAAAAAAUAAAUGCUGUUAAAACCGCCUCAAAAAUCUAAUCUAAUUUACAAUAAAUAAAGAGAAAAAGCCGCGAACAACUCAAGACUAUAGAGUAAGACUGCAACUUCUCGCCGAAAUUUUCCAGAACCGAACGAAAAACGUAGAAAGUGUUUUUAUCGAUGUUUCAAGGUUGAAAAGAUUAUUAAUCUGGAACGACAUCAAAGAGCUUUAUGCCCGUGAAAAUUACGGGCAAAUUUUCUCAAGUGGUGUAUAACUUGGUUUAAGAAGAAAAGGCGUCAUUACAUUAAAAAAU